GAUGAAGAACGUAGCGAAAUGCGAUAAGUAAUGUGAAUUGCAGAAUUCAGUGAAUCAUCGAAUCUUUGAACGCACAUUGCGCCCGCCAGUAUUCUGGCGGGCAUGCCUGUCUGAGCGUCAUUUCAACCCUCAUGCCCCUAGGGCGUGGUGUUGGGGAUCGGCCAAAGCCCGCGAGGGACGGCCGGCCCCUAAAUCUAGUGGCGGACCCGUCGUGGCCUCCUCUGCGAAGUAGUGAUAUUCCGCAUCGGAGAGCGAUGAGCCCCUGCCGUUAAACCCCCAACUUUCCAAGGUUGACCUCAGAUCAGGUAGGAAUACCCGCUGAACUUAAGCAUAUCAGUAAGCGGAGGA
rnacentral:misc_RNA from 1 species